GGGGAUGUAGCUCAGUGGUAGAGUGUGUGCUUAGCAUGUGCAAGGCCCUGGGUUUGAUCUCCAAAGCAUUUUUA
rnacentral:tRNA from 1 species